rnacentral:rRNA from 1 species
CCGACUGCUAUCGGGGUGAGACUAAGCCAUGCGAGUCGGACGUCCCCAGCUAUGGAGGGACGUGGCAGACGGCUCAGUAGCACGUAGUCAACCUACCCUAUGGACGGCGAUAACGUCGGGAAACUGACGCUAAUAGCCGACAGAGAAUGGGUUCUGGAAAGGCCCGUUCUUGAAAGGUCGAGGGGACCAUGCAUCCCUCGAUGCCGUAGGAUGGGACUGCGCCCGAUCAGGCUGAUGGCGGGGUAAUGGCCCACCAUACCUAUAACCGGUGCGGGCCCUGAGAGGGGGAGCCCGGAGAUGGAUCCUGAGACAAGGAUCCAGGCCCUACGGGGCGCAGCAGGCGCGAAACCUCCGCUAUGUGCGAAAGCACGACGGGGUCACCCCGAGUGUCGGCCGCUGAGGUUGACUUUUCUUUGGUCCAAAAGGCCAGAGGAAUAAGGGGAGGGCAAGAUUGGUGUCAGCCGCCGCGGUAAUACCAACUCCCCGAGUGGUCGGGAUGAUUACUGGGCUUAAAGCGUCCGUAGCCUGUUCGACGAGUUCUCCGUUAAAUCCGGCGUCCCAAGCGUCGGACCGCGGGGAAUACUGUCGGACUUGGGAGUGGAAGAGGCCGGCGGUACUCUCUGGGGAGGGGUAAAAUCCACAGAUCCAGGGAGGACCACCAGUGGCGAAGGCGGCCGGCUAGGACACGUCCGACGGUGAGGGACGAAAGCUGGGGGAGCGAUUCGGAUUAGAUACCCGGGUAGUCCCAGCUGUAAACGAUGCAGGCUAGGUGUGCGGGCGGUCAAGAGCUGCCCGUGUGCCGUAGGGAAACCGUUAAGCCUGCCGCCUGGGAAGUACGGCCGCAAGGCUGAAACUUAA